ACAAAACAAACAGGAAUAGUUUAGCCGAACUACGGCAACUCUGAUUCUCAUGUCCAGAUGAGAUACGUAGGCACGAGAUGUGAUGUCUUGUCGAGUUUGACUGACAACUAACUUUGAUCCUUCCUUUUCUCGCACCCUCGUUGCGAUCGAGACCUUCCUUUUCUCUUUCCCUAGUUGCAAUCGAGACCCUUCUUCUUUUC
rnacentral:lncRNA from 1 species